UUUCCAGGCCCAAAACAACCGCAGCUGCUGUUCCCGGCAUGGUGAUCCUUGCAUAUAUUGCAUCCUCCCUUGACUCUACAGCGAUCACGAAGAGACAGCAAGAUGUGCUUGGUUUCUUAGAAGCCAACAAAAUAGGAUUUGAAGGAAAAGAUGUUGCAGCCAAUGAAGAGAAUCAGAAGUGGAUGAGAGGAAACAUACCUGAAAAUAGUCGACCAGCCACAGGGUAUCCCUGGCCACCUCACAUGUUCAAUGAAAGCCAGCACUGUGGGAACUGUGAUGCCUUCUUUGAAGCCAGAGAAGAUAAUGCAGCAUAUGCCUUUUUAGACUUGACAGCCCCACCUGGUUCAAGGGAAACAGAAGCCCAAGCAAAGCAGCCAGCAUAAUCUUUAAGGAUUCUGCCUUAAGCAUCCUGAAUCUCUGUUGCUUUCAUAAACUAACAGAAUCAUCUUGGCUUCAAAAGACAUCUUGGCUUAAUGUUGACAUGAUAGAGUAGUUGGUGUUUUCGCAUGCAAAUAAUACAAAUGAAUGCAUAAUUAAAUAUAAGCUUUAUG